UCACAGAAAUCUGGGGAUGUAUUCUUUCAUGGAAAAGAUGAAUUAGAUCACAAAUAUUUUCCAAUAUAGGUCAUAAUUGAAAAUCUCUUCACAACAUGAGGCUGAAACCCAAGCACUGGGAGGUCAAGAGGAGAGUGUUUCAGACUAAGAUUGGGAAGAAAAUUCUGAACUCAACAGGGACCAUGAAUAUGACACCAAAUACAAAUGAAAAUUUGAAAAUAAAAGCACUGUCCAUUUAUGGGCACAAUGACACAGAUAGUACAUCAAGAAUGAAAAUCCCUUCAUGA
rnacentral:lncRNA from 1 species